rnacentral:rRNA from 1 species
UUCCGGUUGAUUCCGCCGGACCCGACUGCUAUCGGGGUGGGGCUAAGCCAUGCGAGUCGUACGCCCGGGGGCGCCCGGGCGUGGCGCACGGCUCAGUAACACGUGCCUAACCUACCCUCGGGAGGGGGAUAACCCCGGGAAACUGGGGCUAAUCCCCCAUAGGGGAGGGGUGCUGGAAGGCUCCCUCCCCGAAAGGGGCGGCAGCCGAUCCGCUGCCGCCCGCCCGAGGAUGGGGGUGCGGCCCAUCAGGUAGUUGGCGGGGUAACGGCCCGCCAAGCCGAUAACGGGUGGGGGCCGUGAGAGCGGGAGCCCCGAGAUGGGCACUGAGACAAGGGCCCAGGCCCUACGGGGCGCAGCAGGCGCGAAAACUCCGCAAUGCGGGAAACCGCGACGGGG